ensembl:lncRNA
AGCUUCGUUCAGGCCCGGCCGGGACUUGAUCAUCCUGGAAAUUAUAUCGCUGGCUCGUCCCACUUGGGGGAAAGCCAAUUACCUGGACUGGGAGCCAUUGGCAUCUCGUCCGGCCUCCCGCAGCCAGACAGGAACCCUGAGCUUCUGCUUCCAGCCUGGCCUGGCCUGUCCUAGAGAGUCCGCCUGGGUGAGGGGAGAGCCAGCCUGCGAGGGGCCCCUCCCACAGCCUGGCCUUUCCUGUGGGGCUGCAGUGGAACCUUCUCAUUUGCCUGAAAUGGAAAAAAGUCAAGCCCCGCAGCAGAAAAUGUCCGGGACCCUCCGCAAAGCGACCCAGAAGUUGAGUCCCAGACCCCUUGGAGCGGGAACUGUUGGCCUGAGAAGCUUGAGGAUCACGUUCAAUUCAUCAUUAUUUGUAAGCCAGCGGGGGGCGGGGGGGGGGCAUCUCUCUGAUUACUCACUGACCAUGCGCCAUAAACGCAGAAACCGACAAAAUCCCACAGAAUCAAUAACGUGCUAAGUUCCCCGUCUAAAUCACGGCACCUGGUAUUCUUGAGUAAACCUUUGGGUAAUUUACAAAGGCUGUUGAAUUUUAUAGUAAGUGUUUUUCAAACCAAGCUGGAUUCUAAACAAUAAUGACUUUUUAAUGUGGCUCUGUGAUUACAUUGUCAUAGUGAAAUACGGGGUCUUUGACUGCAUCCGAAAUGAGCAUGGGCUGAAUUACUCGCAGGCAGAGACCCGCGCGGCCACAGGUAAAGCAAUCUUCAUAAAUUACCCGCCAAUCCGGGCGGCCUGGCAGGCGAGGCCUGAUGCCCAUGUUGGCAACUUAAAUUUCAACGGACA